GACGUAGGGCGCGAGCGUUGUCCGGAUUUAUUGGGCGUAAAGAGCUCGUAGGCGGCUUGUCGCGUCGAAUGUGAAAACUCGGGGCUCAACUCCGAGCUUGCAUUCGAUACGGGCAGGCUAGAGUUCGGUAGGGGAGACUGGAAUUCCUGGUGUAGCGGUGAAAUGCGCAGAUAUCAGGAGGAACACCGGUGGCGAAGGCGGGUCUCUGGGACGGUACUGACGCUGAGACGCGAAAGCGUGGGGAGCAAACAGG
rnacentral:rRNA from 1 species